rnacentral:piRNA from 1 species
UGACAAUAAUGGACUAAAGUGCUGAACCUGU